AACGAACGCUGGCGGCAUGCCUAACACAUGCAAGUCGAACGGGAUCCUAGCUUGCUAGGUGAGAGUGGCGGACGGGUGAGUAACACGUGGGAAUCUGCCUUUUGGUUCGGGAUAACCGCGGGAAACUGCGGCUAAUACCGAAUGCCCUCGAGAGAGGAAAGAUUUAUCGCCAGAAGAGGAGCCCGCGUCCGAUUAGGUAGUUGGUGGGGUAAAGGCCUACCAAGCCGACGAUCGGUAGCUGGUCUGAGAGGAUGAUCAGCCACACUGGGACUGAGAUACGGCCCAGACUCCUACGGGAGGCAGCAGUGGGGAAUAUUGGACAAUGGGGGCAACCCUGAUCCAGCAAUGCCGCGUGAGUGAUGAAGGCCUUAGGGUUGUAAAGCUCUUUGCCAGGGAAGAUGAUGACUGUACCUGGAGAAUAAGCCCCGGCUAACUUCGUGCCAGCAGCCG
rnacentral:rRNA from 1 species